GAUGAACGCUGGCGGCGUGCUUAACACAUGCAAGUCGAACGAAGCACUUGAAGUUUUUCGGAAUGGAAAGUGACUGAGUGGCGGACGGGUGCGUAACGCGUGGGUAACCUGCCUCAUACAGGGGGAUAACAGUUAGAAAUGACUGCUAAUACCGCAUAAGCGCACAGUACCGCAUGGUACGGUGUGAAAAACUCCGGUGGUAUGAGAUGGACCCGCGUCUGAUUAGCUAGUUGGUGAGGUAACGGCUCACCAAGGCGACGAUCAGUAGCCGACCUGAGAGGGUGACCGGCCACAUUGGGACUGAGACACGGCCCAAACUCCUACGGGAGGCAGCAGUGGGGAAUAUUGCACAAUGGGCGAAAGCCUGACGCAGCGACGCCGCGUGAACGAAGAAGUAUUUCGGUAUGUAAAGUUCUAUCAGCAGGGAAGAAAAUGACGGUACCUGACUAAGAAGCACCGGCUAAAUACGUGCCAGCAGCCGCGGUAAGAC
rnacentral:rRNA from 1 species